ACUCCUACGGGAGGCAGCAGCAAGGAAUUUUCCCCAAUGGGCGCAAGCCUGAGGGAGCAACGCCGCGUGCAGGACGACGGCCUUCGGGUUGUAAACUGCUUUUGGGCGGGAAGAUUGUGACGGUACCGCCUGAAUAAGCCCCGGCUAACUCCGUGCCAGCAGCCGCGGUAAGACGGAGGGGGCAAGCGUUGUCCGGAAUCACUGGGCGUAAAGCGCACGUAGGCGGCCUGGUGCGUCGGUGCUGAAAGCGCCCCGCUUAACGGGGCGAGGCGUGCCGAUACGACUGGGCUGGAGGCAGGCAGAGGUGGCGGAAUUCCGGGUGUAGUGGUGAAAUGCGUAGAGAUCCGGAGGAACGCCGGUGGUGCAGACGGCCACCUGGGCCUGACCUGACGCUGAGGUGCGAAAGCGUGGGGAGCGAACCGGAUUAGAUACCCUGGUAGCUA
rnacentral:rRNA from 1 species